rnacentral:tRNA from 1 species
ACGGACGUGGCGGAAUUGGUAGACGCGCUAGAUUUAGGUUCUAGUAGGAUUUCCUGUGGGGGUUCGAGUCCCUUCGUCCGUAC